CGUGGCGUAAGGGUGAGCAAUGCGACGGCAACCAACCCCAAGGUCGGGCAUAGCCGAGGGAAACCUCGGGUAAUUCCCGGCGACGUCGUCGAGCGGCAUCGCUUGACGACCAAAGGUGUGAUUCCGCCUUGGGACGGACCGUUGUGGUAUCAGGUAGUUGGCGGGGUAACGGCCCACCAAGCCCUAGACGCCUACCGGGCGUGCGAGCGCGGCCCGGCACACUGGGACUGAGACACUGCCCAG
rnacentral:rRNA from 1 species